GCCGUGUUGAGUGGGGAAUUAACAGAAAGACGCCAAAGCACUGUGAUAUGAGCUGAUUUGGGAGCGGGCACCAGGCACUGCUGCGCUCUGUAUCCGCAGCCGUGGAGGGCUUCCCCCCUCCCGCUGUAAUAUUUAUGACAAAACGGAGGCAAAUUAUUCUGGUCACGUUUUUGGCUGACAGCCGGCUGUCCUGGAGAGCGCUGGAGUGAAUCGGGGUCCAGUGUUGGCGAUAGCGCAGCGCACCGACACCUGCAGUAGGAUGUAAAGGGAAUUCCCACUCACCAAACUGAUUGAUGUUGUCACAAUGCUGCGGUGAUGGUCCGGUAAUGUUUAGGCAAAAAGACCACUUGGUUUUGAAUCAACCACAGAUCUGCCAUCAUCCUCAUCACUGCCUCAUCUGAGCGAGAGGAAAAAGAAAGUCAGAGCAUGGUCUGGUGUGGCGGCCGCUGUUGCUAUGUGU
rnacentral:lncRNA from 1 species